rnacentral:lncRNA from 1 species
AUGCACCUUAAGGUUUGGGACCACAUAGCUGGGAGCAACUUACCACUGGGUGUGGCUAAAAACAGCUUUCUCUUCACAUCAUUUAUAAAUCUGUUUUUAUGUUCCUCCAUGUCUCUUCCUGUCAAAGGAAUGGAAUGUGGGAUGGGAUUGUCUAUUAUUAUUUCACAAUUAAGGAUAAUGACGUGGAACAUCCUAGGUGAGUCACUAGUGUGGCCAGGAAUUGCAGCUUCACUGGUUAGCUGUUUUCCAGCCAGCCUGGCCAUUUCUGUUCACACGCCUAUGGUUUCUGAUGCUGAGCCCAGUGUGUCCAGGAACAGGAUGCCGAAAUGGAUGCUGUCACCUCCCUACUAGACCAACGACCCUGGGAGUAGCCUGCUGGGGACCCUCAUCCCUGAGACCUCAAGACCAGAAGUCCAGAGUCAUUCUAUAGUUCCCCCGUGGCUUCUGUUUUCCUUGUUGUUGUUGCCUCUCCUUUUCUUGCUGGAACAGUUUGGCGUGAUCAUGAGUGGUACGGGGAGGGGUCACUUGGUGGUCCUUUCUGUCCAUGGACUGUCCCCGCAUAGUGUGAUUUGUCCUUAGGUUAGCAUCGGGGCAGUGACAGAGCUGGGAUAUAUGCUGAAGGUUCAAAAGCCAGCCUGCCUCUUUCCCUCUGCAAAUAGCUGCAGCUGGGAGACAUUCUUUACAAGUGAACAUUAAACAGGAAUAAUGCAAAUUUGGAAUUUUUAAUAAUGUGGAUGUGCUCUCAAGCCUAGGAAGGAAGAAGGGAGGGAGAGAGGGAAAGAAGGAUGAAAGGUAGCCUUUCCGGGAAGGGACAAUCUAAAAGGACUCAGGAGGCCUGUUUCCUACCCUGUCCACCCAGGCAUCUGAGAUUAGCAGUGUGAUACUCAGCCUGUGGGUUCCCACCAUAAAACUCUCCUUGGCUUGGCUAAGAUCUGGAUUUGCAAAUCACUUGGGAUUCAAUUUUGUUUUGGUUAUCUCAGUGUAAAUAGCAGUUAAGUGGGAGUUACAGAUUUUUCAAACACGAAAAGUGAUAAACAAAGCUAAUGGCAAGCCCAGAUAAGGAGGGAAACCACCCAGGAGAAUCCACAAGUACAAGCACAGGAGAAAAUGGAAUGGGCAGAUCUGUGUUUCUUGUCACCUAAACUUUGUUUUUUCUCCUGUGCGGAGGGGCAGAAAAGGUAGAGGCACGAUGCUCCUUAGGCUGUUCCUGUCCCAGUCUUCAGGAUCGCACUGUCCUAGGUGCCCAGCGAAGCAAGACAGUUUGGGAAUCCACACAUCCGUCCUCAGAACCAAAGAUACAAGUGUUUCCCAACUGUUAGCUUGCAGCUCCUUCUAAACAAUUUUCACGCCU